rnacentral:rRNA from 1 species
CAGCACCUCAAGUGGUCAGGAUGAUUAUUGGGCCUAAAGCAUCCGUAGCCGGCUCUGUAAGUUUUCGGUUAAAUCUGUACGCUUAACGUACAGGCUGCCGGGAAUACUGCAGAGCUAGGGAGUGGGAGAGGUAGACGGUACUCGGUAGGAAGGGGUAAAAUCCUUUGAUCUAUUGAUGACCACCUGUGGCGAAGGCGGUCUACCAGAACACGUCCGACGGUGAGGGAUGAAAGCUGGGGGAGCAAACCGGAUUAGAUACCCGUGUAGUCC